rnacentral:lncRNA from 1 species
AAGGUUUACCAGAUAUAGAGUCGCAAAGUUCCGUCGGUGGCAAACAGUGCGUGCGAUUUGACGCGGUAUCUGGCUUCGCCGCGGUUUGCGACGCGACGCGUCCAGUGCCCGUGCUCCGCUACCUGUGUCACCUCGACGCCUUUAUAUCUCGUAAACCUUCGACCUCUGACUCCUGGUCCACUAAUGACUUUUUGGGUGUUUCGGCUCCCCUUUCGAUCUGUACUACUUUCGCUGUGCCUCAGUAGGGCAACAAUUGUAUUAUUAAUCGAUCGAAUAUACAAAACACUACAAUUUUUCCUAUAUAGUUUCAUUUUAUAUUUUUCUGGAAUACGAUAAUAAAAUUAUAUAUUUCCUAUAAAUAAUUAUACAAUUUUUUCAUCGCUUUAGUUAUUUUCAAAUAAUGUUAGUCAUCUAUAAACUGUUAAGAUUUCCUUUUAUCUCGAAAAAUUUAGGUAAGAUUUUACUUUGACUGUCUGGCGUUUUCGCGGCGCUACGCCCAUAUAUUAAAUGAUAAUAUUAUACCAUCUGAUCGUCGAAUAACAUUAUCUUUCAUACCAAUGAAGUAGAUAUUAAUAUCAUUCGCACGCAUAUUAACAUCUAUUUUAUCCAGCACGUUAAGGCGCGCUAUAACGCGAAUUGUUACGCAUAGACGCGUCGCACUAGCAACAGACACGAAAACACUAGACAGUGAAUCCUACCGAAAUGUUGAACUGUUUAAGAUUAAAUUUCAUCGUCUGAAAUAUCCUAUAUAAAAUUGGAGUGACUCGGACGCAAAGCAAACAGUUACAUCAAUGAAUUCCUUCUCUCCACAGAUGACACAACGCAUUUCAAUGUUUAUAAUCCAGCUAGUAUUGGAAUAUUAUUAUCAUUUUUAUACACUUCAACAAGUUUAUAAUUUUACAAUAAUAUUUUCAGCCAGAAAUAUUAAAUAUUUUCUUUCUUCCGAAGAGUUUAACCACUCCGCACUCUUCCAUCAGAAACGUAUUAGAAUGACUUUUUGUCAUGGUAAAAUCCUAAUAAAUCCAAUCUAAAUAUAAAAACCAAAGAUUUUUUUCUGUAGUAUACAUGAAAUAUAUAUAAAUAUAAAUAUUCUCACAGGAAUUUUGUAAGUACUUAACGUAUGGAAGAAGAAAACCGACUUUUUAAAAAUCAGAGAGUUUUCGUCGUACCAUACUUAUCAACAUCUGGAAACGUCCCUUCGUCUAUAUGAUAAAAAUUCUUACGUUUAUAGCUUAAACUAUUUUAAAAAAGCUUCAAAAUAUUGCAGUAAUAUAUAAAUUACGAUCGAAACAAAUAACGAGAACAGAGUAGUAAUUAUAACACGCGGUGAUCAAACUUAAUAAAAGGAAUAAUUAACAUUAAAUCAACCUUCAAACAUGGCGUCGAA